rnacentral:rRNA from 1 species
GAUGAACGCUGGCGGCGUGCCUAAUACAUGCAAGUCGAGCGAACAGAUGAGGAGCUUGCGCCUCUGACGUUAGCGGAGGACGGGUGUGUAACACGUGGAUAACCUACCUAUAAGACUGGGAUAACUACGGGAAACCGGAGCUAAUACCGGAGGAUAUAUUGAACCGCGUUGUUCAAUAGUGAGAGACGGUGUUGCGGUCACUUAUAGAUGCAUCCGCGCUGCAUUAGCUAGUAGGUAAGGUAAAGGCUUACGAAGGCAACGAGGCGUAGCCGAGCUGAGAGAGUGGUCGCCCACCCGGGAACUGAGACACCGUCCAGACGCCUGCGGUAGGCCGCAGUCGGCAACCUUACGCAACAGGGGAAAGCCUGACGGAGCGGCGCCGCGUGAGAGACGACGGUCUCCGGAGCGUAAAACCCUGUUAUGAGUGAAGAACCAAUGUGUAAGUAACUAUGCCCGGCUUGACGGUAACUGAUCAGAAAGCCACGGCUAACUACGUG